CGUAUUGGUGGAUCUGGCUGUGCCACUUCCUAUUUAACGUCACCAGUCCCAUGGGUGCGUAAUUGCUGUCUUCCGGGGUGCCUGUUUGGUUUGGUGGCGCGAUGCGCGAGGAGUUGAAGUGCGUUAUGAAAGUAUGAAUGUUUGGACUGUUGCGUGCUCAUCGUUGACUGCCGUCCUGCAACGGCGUGUGUGAGCGGUCGGGGUAACCAAAGGACGACCGUGGUUGAUUGUGGUUGCUACACUCCUCUUUGCCCUAUUCUAUUCCAUUCGCCUGGUGAGGUGGCGGUUUGGAUAGGCUGCGCCCCUGCCAGGUUGCUGUCUUGUCCACCUGUGUUGUUCCGGUGUGCGUCAUUCUCCGUGCAUCCAAGCCAGCGACGGUGACGGUCGCUGGUUUCCCCCCACGACGCGCAGUCAGCCCACUGCGCGAUACAUCUUGUAGUGCUAAUUGUAUGGACGGUCAAUAAGCC